rnacentral:rRNA from 1 species
GACGAACGCUGGCGGCGUGCUUAACACAUGCAAGUCGAGCGGUAAGGCCCUUUCGGGGGUACACGAGCGGCGAACGGGUGAGUAACACGUGGGUGACCUGCCUUUAGCUCUGGGAUAAGCCUGGGAAACCGGGUCUAAUACUGGAUAUGACUCCAUGACGCAUGUUGUGGGGUGGAAAGCCUUGUGCGGCUGAGGAUGGGCCCGCGGCCUAUCAGCUUGUUGGUGGGGUGAUGGCCUACCAAGGCGACGACGGGUAGCCGGCCUGAGAGGGCGACCGGCCACACUGGGACUGAGACACGGCCCAGACUCCUACGGGAGGCAGCAGUGGGGAAUCUUGCGCAAUGGGCGAAAGCCUGACGCAGCGACGCCGCGUGAGGGAUGACGGCCU